AUUGAACGCUGGCGGCAUGCCUUACACAUGCAAGUCGAACGGCAGCACGGGAGCAAUCCUGGUGGCGAGUGGCGAACGGGUGAGUAAUGUAUCGGAACGUGCCCAGUCGUGGGGGAUAACGUAGCGAAAGCUACGCUAAUACCGCAUACGAUCUAUGGAUGAAAGCGGGGGAUCGCAAGACCUCGCGCGAUUGGAGCGGCCGAUAUCAGAUUAGGUAGUUGGUGGGGUAAAGGCUCACCAAGCCAACGAUCUGUAGCUGGUCUGAGAGGACGACCAGCCACACUGGAACUGAGACACGGUCCAGACUCCUACGGGUGGCAG
rnacentral:rRNA from 1 species